ensembl:snRNA U6 U6 spliceosomal RNA
GUGCUCAUUUUGGCAGCACAUAUACUAAAGUUGCAAUGAUACAGAGAAGAUUGGCAUGGCAUCUAGGCAAGGAUGACAUGCAAAGUGGUGAAGUGUUCCUUUAUUUG